GUUAUAGAUAACUCGAACAUCUGAAAUUGGACUAAAAAAGAAAUAUCUAAAGAGAGGUUAAUUCUACAAGAGAAAUUCUACGUACAUGUCCCCUUAAAAUAUUCCAUAAAAUAUAUUUCGAAGAAUAAAUACGAAUGGAUAGAUGCAGAUAGAAAUUCGAGAAUCGAGACAAAAGAGAGAAAAUGGUAAAGUCGGAGAAAGCAAACCUUUGGUGGACAAAAGAGGCAGAGAAUAGAUAGAAGAAAAUUAAUGAAACACAGGUGGCCUUCAGUGAUCAUUUAUCAAGUGAAGAAUUCGUAUUUGUUGGAUGUUUUCAGAACGUCUUGUGCUAUCCUUUAGUUAUGGGACAAAUAAGGGAAAACAGUAAAGAUCAGAAUAAGUUAGGAUAGAAGAGGAUAAAAGAGCAAAAGCGAUAGAAAAUCGGCGAAAGAAUAAAAGGAACGCAGGUAGCCAAAAACAUCCUGAAAAUAUUCAGGAAUGUGUUUAGGUAAUAUUUGUUUAAAACAAUUUUCAGUUCAAAAUUUUGAUCAUGAUAAAUAAUUUAAAAUAAGAU